rnacentral:misc_RNA from 1 species
AUUUGUUAUCAAAAUUAUGUGAACUGUGGUUUACCUCUUUUUCUAAAGAUUCUGGUGAAUUGCUUCUGCUUAGGUGAAAUUUGCUAUUACUCAUCAUGGAAAGUUUAAUGAAAGAGUAUGCUGCUUUUGAAGAAAAAGUAAAGCGUACUAUCCUCAUUGACAGCCUUUCACCUGCGGCUACUGAAGCUGUCGUUAGAGCUUCACUUGAUCAAUUUGGGAAUGUCAUUCAGGUCAAGUUUAUCCCAAACUACCUUGAACCAAAGACCGUUGGACUAUCUGCAUUGGUUGAGCUGGAAAAUGCAGACCAGGCGAAAACUAUAAUCUCCGAGAUAAGCAGUUCCUCAUUUAUGAUCUGUGGCAUGCCAAGGCCUGUCAGGGCACGUGCUGCUGAAGUAGAGAUGUUCGAUGACCGUCCUAUAAAACCUGGUAGGAAGAUAGUAUGCCGAUGGUUGGACUCCAGUGAUCCUGAUUUUGAGGUCACUGAGAAGAUCAAGCAUUUGGUUAGCAAACAUGCAGAAGAAGCCAAGUUUUGCCUCAAGCAUCAACUAGAGGAGGAGGAGAAUCUUGCGAAAAAACAGACAGAGAUCUUGAACGCAGCGUAUAAGAAGUAUGAACUCAUAGACAGUGUUGUUGGCAACAGAGUCGCUGAACGUCUGUCUGAACGUUACAGAGUGCACGUUGCAAAUGCUGAACAGCACUAAACUCGUCUGUCCAACGCUAUGCAGAAGAAACUAACAUAGACCUAAUGAUUUUGCUUCCUUGCGAUCGAUUGACAUGUUUUGCUUUUUGUGAAAGAUCAUAUUUCAGGCAGUUGAGAGAGCUCACUCUAUAAAAGCUUGUGUAGUGUUAGGUUGAUCUUGAAUUUAUGUUUCAAGUAAACCUGCAAAAUAUUACUUAAUACUACAUGUUAUGUUAUAGCUAGAGUGUGAAAGCUAAUGAUUGUGUGAAGGGUGUG